CAUGGGAUGUGUUGAAAAAAUGAAAGAUAUUGGUGAUGCAGAUGUUACACCACUCAGACUGCAACGGUAUGGUGUAGAAAAAGUUCAGUCUUUUAUUAAUCACUGGCAACACAUACAAGCUGUCGAGGCAGCAUCGGGCACACACCUUUUUUUUCAUAAACAAAAGAAUUGAAUAUUACUAAAUAUCACUGAAUGACAUGUUAAACAAACUCUUCUAAGAAUGCACUAUAAGAAAACAUUCCUUUCAGUUGCUACACAGACAUUAUCCUUAAAGAUGCAAAGGUUUCUGACUAGAAGUAUUAGGAAUUUGAUAUUUUUUUGUUGUCAUUUGAAAUGUAGUAUAGUUUAGUGUAGACUUAAAGGAUUAGUUGAUUCAUUGAUUAGUUGAUUGAAAAAAUCUGCAACUAUUUUAAUAAUCGAAUAAUUGCUUUCAUUUUUCAAACGAAACUGUCAAAUAGUCUCUGUUUCCAGCAUCUGAAAUUUAAGAGUAAAUUUAAGUACGCCUUUACAAUUUGUGACACUAAGGUACGCAAAAAGCCUGUUGAAAAAAAGAAGAAGAAGAAGAGUUCGACCAAUCACAGCGCCGGAUUCGUUUCCCGUGGCUGCACCGACUGCACUCACCUACGAAUUUGCUCAUUGUGUAAUGUAAUUUCAGGUCACGUUAGCUAGAGUCCACAAUUCGUUAACAUCGUUUUGACCUCGGUGUACCCUAACUGUAACCCCUCUCACUCCGACUGGCUGCUGAGGACUGUUCUCUGAACUCCUUUGCAAAGGUCUCCAGAAAUGAUCCUGAAGGCCCCGUUCACCGAGGCCAUCGACAUGGAGUCGUCGAGCUGUGUCAUGAAGGCAAUUCUUGGAACUUUGCUUUUCCCUUAGUCCACUGAAAAUAACUUGGUAAGUAAUUUAUUAUCACUGGACCCUGCUUACUUUGUACACUGUCCCUAAUAGAUCUAGAACUGUUGCACCAGCCAGUCUCAGAUCACAGGUCUUUGGCUUUAUUUCUGUAGUUUCGUCCAUCAUUCCUACCAGUUGUUUUCUGCGUCCAUCACAAACUUAACUAUCCUAUCAAUACAUACAAUUUUUUUGUCCUUAUGUCUGAUUUAUAGUAAGUCUUGUCUACUGUUGUGCAUGACAUGCUGGAAAAAGUUAUAUAGUAUAUUUUAUAGAAAGACUUUCAUAUAAUUUCUUUCUAUGAACCAAGAUGUUGACAGUGACAGUUUCAAAAUUCAAUGGAUUUAGAUGAGGAGGACCAGACAUGGGUUAUUAAAAUAUGGGGGUGUGUUGAGCUUUUGAAAGGAAUGCUUAAAAUGGAUCCAAGAGGCAGGAUUACCCCCAGUGAAGUGAAUUUGUGUGUUUCUUUGUAUGUCUAAAUAUGACAAUUGACUAUCAGAACAAUAGACAAAGAAUUUAACUUUGAGUAAAGAUUGUUUUAUGGAGGCUGUCCUGUCAUUUAGCCAUAACAUUACGGAUGGAUUCAACAAAAUAACACUUCAUCAGUGGUGAACCGUAAGUAUUAGAACUGGGCCUUCAACUCAACAUCAAGCAUUUUUUAUUUUGGGCUUUCAUCAAGCAAUAAUAUUAACAUUAAUUAAAGUUACUGUAAGCACCAUGUAAAUCUGAAAAACGUAUUAUAAUUUGUUCUUUGCCUAUAAAAAGCACAGCGAUGAAAGACCAAACAAGAUUAGAUUGAUUAGAUUAGAAUAGAACUAUUUAAAGGACCAGUGGGUAGGAUUUAGUGACAUCUAGUGGCGAGGUUGCAGAUUGCAACCAACUGAAUACCCCUCCACUGGUGUAAUAAUUACUAGUAAAUAAUAAUUCCUAUAAAAUGCAGAUACUUUGCCUUACUUUUGCAGUAUCUAUUGACAAAAUAUUUUCUCUCAGCUUUCUGAUCCAUCUUAAGUUGUUUAAGAAAAUUUAGGUUUAGUAAUAUUUACAGCCCAUAGCUUAUAGGAAUUAAGUGUCUCUUUUUGUAGUUUCUAUCUGUCCAAGUACUAUUAAUGGUAUUGAAAUAAAUGCAUCAAUUUACAAUUUCACAGAUUUCAGUAAGUGAUUUAGAGUUAGUCACCAAAUCACAUGAAAUUCAUUAAAGUCCAGACACAAAAAUGAGAUGACAGCUAUUGAGAUCUGCAAAGCUAGCUACCUUUAGAGGGAGCUGUUUAGCCUCUUUUAUUUGUUCAUCAUGAACUGAUUUAGCUGCAUCAUAUUUAGUUAUGUGGAAUAAAAAACUAAAUAACCAAAAUGUCAGUUCAUCAAUAUGGAUAAUAGAUGUUUCAUUUAAAGAUAACUAGGGCAAAGUCAAUAACUAAACUUAGCUAGCUAAAACUAGUUGCAGCUUUUCUUACAAGUUUGCUUUCACUUGACUUUUUACGUCAGCUGUCUACUUAUGGAAGCACAGUUUUGGCAUUGAGAGAAUAAUGUUCCUUGGCUCAGCUGUGUGUUGCAGUAGUUUAUUAACUGUGUGUGUAUUCUUUUGUUGUCUUUGUGCAACUGUUGUACAGAAAUCUCCUGGUUGAGAUUUUAAACACUAUCAUCAGAAAAUAUCUCAGAUUAGCUGACAAGCUGAACCAGUCCCAAAGAUAUUUGGAUGAACACAACGGAGGAAACUCUUGAAGGCAGCAGCAGCACUAGGAGUUUUCUAAGAACAUUAACAGCUCUGAUGAAAUCUUCUGGUCAACGUUCCCUUCAGAAGAUGUCCUGAAUAACUCCACCCACUCAGACUGCUCUGUACAAAUUUGGUU